rnacentral:rRNA from 1 species
AUGAGCAUGCCAUGGCGGCGUGGCAUGAGCGCUUCCCGCAGGAUGUCGUCGCCGAGAACGAGUUCUGGAUGCAGAGGAGGGCGGAGCGAGCCACGCAUCAGGGCGGCGUUCGCCCAGGGCACGCACCGGUUCGACAUCGUCGGCUACAGCGCUGCACGGGAGGCCCUCGGCGGCUCCGUCCGGUCUGGCAGCUUCAGCGCCGGCGGCUUCCUCUGGGCCAUCAUCUGCCGCCUCCAAGCUCCCACUCCGGCGGCCGGGCAAUGUGGCCUUGCGUCGAUCUCGCUGGAGCUCUCCAAGAACGCCACGUCCAAGGACAUUGUCGCCAUGGCCAGCCUCCGGAUCGACCAAAGCAACCGCACCGGCCAAUUCCCGUCUGCCGUGUGGCGGAGCCAGGAGGCCAAGACCUUUGGCGCUCGGUCCAUGAGCCCCGUCGCCUGGGAGCUCGCCGUCCCGGACGCGUUCCAGAACCACGAGUCACGCUACGUCAUGGACGACUGCCUCACCAUACAUUGCACCGUGGAGGUCCUCCAGCAGGAGCUGCAGCAGCAGGACUCCACCGCCAUCAAAAACUGUCUCGUCCUCGUGCCACCGGCGCCGAGCAUCUCUCAGGACUUCUACAACCUUCUCAGGGAGAGGCGGUCGCCGAAGCCGGACGUGACCUUCAUCCUUGAGGACGACGGCACCGAGGUCCAGGCGCACAAGUUGCUGCUGGCCAUGCGGUCACCGGUGUUCCGUGCCCAGUUCCUGCGCGGGGACAUGAAGGAGCGGAGCGCGCGGCGCCUCAAGAUCAGCGGCUUGACCGCCUCGGCUUUCAGGGCCAUGCUCUACUUUAUCUACACCGACGAGCAGCCUACACCGAAUAGACGAAGAUGCCCUGUGGCCAUGGCACAGGACCUACUCGUGGCCGCGGAUCUCUACGACCUCGAGAGGCUGAGGCUCAUGUGCGAGAAGGUACUCUCUGAGAGCAUCGACGUGGGCAAUGUCAUGACAACACUGAUGUUGGCCCACGGCAGACAUAGCUGUCAGCAGCUGGAGGCAUCGUGCAUCGAGUUCUUGGUGUCUGACCCCGACGUGUACGACACCGUGGAGGCCACUGAGGAGUACAAGGAACUCGAAAAGACAUGCCCCUCUUUUAUAAACGAGAUCACCAAGAAAGUAGCCAAGACCGCAGUUUCCCACCACAGAUCUCCAUCUACUUCUUCUUGCACCAACAAUGGUAGCAAGAUGACAACGAGAAGCGUGUCAAAGUAUACCCCGUCGGUGAUGAUGAGCGGCACACACGAGUUCACCAUCCAAUGCUUGAGUGCCAUGAGAAAGACGCAUGGUGUGGGUCAAUACAUCCGAUCUAGUAGUUUUCAAGUUGGGGGUUAUGAGUGGACCAUAGAGGUGUUCCCUUCAGGACAUAAAGAGGACAUCACCGAGAGUAUUGGUAUCUUCAUCAGGCCCUUCAUUCAUGACGAUGAUACAAAGGUAGAAGCAUCAGUGACUUUAAAGCCCAUUGACCCCACCGGUGAGUUGCCGCCGUUUCCUCGCCGUAUUUUUACACACGUCUAUGCUGGCAGGAACUGCGAGUCCUGGGGGUGGCCAAAGUUCAUCAUUGCAAAAUAUGCCAACACACACUACGUGGGACAUGACGGCUCUUUCACCCUACAAUGUCAAGUUGAGGUACCUACAGAGUCCUGCACUAGUGGCACCAUCGGCGUAGGCACCAUCGUCACGGUGCCGCCGUCAAAUAUGGCAUGGCAUCUUGAGCAACUGUUCGCGAGGGAGGAGGGCUCGGACGUAAAGUUCCUGGUCGAGGACAGUGAGAUCUGCGCCCACGGGCUUGUGAUAGCGACACGGUCGCCAGUGCUACACGAGGCGGUGGAAUCAGCUAGCAGCAAAGACCAUGUAAGGAUCGAUGUAAUAAGUUCCAUGGCUUUCAAGGCCAUGCUCCACUUCAUCUACACUGACGAGUUGCCUCGUGUUGAUGACCUAGUCCAUAUGGUCGGUGAUAUCACAACGAUGGCCGGAGAGAUGCUCGUGGCGGCGUGCCGGUUCCGACUGGAGAGGAUGAAGCGGCUGUGCAUAAACUUGCUAGCCGAGAAGGUUACAACCGUGCUGAGUGCGCUGACCACGGCGAAGGUGGCACGACGUCACAACUGCCCGGAGCUGGAAGAAUAUUGUAGGCAGUACAUGUCGUUGCCACACUUGACAAGUAAAGUUACAGAAACUUGUAUCAACCUGUUCCUAGAAUCUUAA